rnacentral:rRNA from 1 species
CCUACGGGUGGCAGCAGUGAGGAAUAUUGGUCAAUGGACGAGAGUCUGAACCAGCCAAGUAGCGUGAAGGAUGAAUGUCCUAUGGGUUGUAAACUUCUUUUAUAUGGGAAUAAAAAAGGGUAUGCAUACCCUCUUGUGUGUACCAUAUGAAUAAGGAUCGGCUAACUCCGUGCCAGCAGCCGCGGUAAUACGGAGGAUCCGAGCGUUAUCCGGAUUUAUUGGGUUUAAAGGGAGGUUAGGUGGAUUGUUAAUUCAGUUGUGAAAGUUUGCGGCUCAACCGUAAAAUUGCAGUUGAAACUGGCAGUCUGCAGUAUAGUAGAGGGGAGCGGAAAUCGUGGUGUAGCGGGGAAAUGCUUAGAUAUCACGGAGAACUCCGAUUGCGAAGGCAGGUCACUGGACUGCAACUGACACUGAUGCUCGAAAGUGUUGGUAUCAAACAGGAAUUGAUACCCCUUGUAGUC